GGUUUAGGUUCACAUUCUUCCUUGCAAAGCCUUCUCUGGCAUGGUGGUUCUGCUGAUGGUGCUUGGUUCAGUUGUGCCUCAAAUAAGGUAGGAUAGGUUCCAUUAACACUGCCAUACCCAUUCUCACAUUAGUUUAUUUUUUAUUUUGUAGUUAUUAGUUUAGUGCCUUCAUUGCCAUACUCUAUUGUGGCAUAUCUUUUGGGGUGCAUUAAAACAUGCGAAUGGAAUUGAAGGCAGAUCAACAAUUGUUGUUAGAGUAAUAGCAUGCUUUCAACCCUUGCACAAUUGUCAGGAAAAGCCAAUGACGGCUUUGGGUGAACAAGUGUGUCAAUCUGUGGUAAUAAUGUUGGAAAGAUUAUGCACGGCAAACCAUUCACUGUAUGCAGUUUGUAUGCCUUCCAUAUGUGCAAACCUUUCUAUGAGUAUGACAGGAAGGAUGGGAACCAGUACUG